GAAAAGAAACCAACAGGGAUUGCCUCAGUAGCGGCGAGUGAAGCGGCAAAAGCUCAAAUUUGAAAUCUGGCGUCUUUGGCGUCCGAGUUGUAAUUUGAAGAAGGUAUCUUUGGGCCCGGCUCUUGUCUAUGUUCCUUGGAACAGGACGUCACAGAGGGUGAGAAUCCCGUGCGAUGAGAUGACCCGGGUCUGUGUAAAGUUCCUUCGACGAGUCGAGUUGUUUGGGAAUGCAGCUCUAAGUGGGUGGUAAAUUCCAUCUAAAGCUAAAUAUUGGCGAGAGACCGAUAGCGAACAAGUACAGUGAUGGAAAGAUGAAAAGAACUUUGAAAAGAGAGUGAAAAAGUACGUGAAAUUGUUGAAAGGGAAGGGCUUGAGAUCAGACUUGGUAUUUUGCAUGCUGCUCUCUCGGGGGCGGCCGCUGCGGUUUACCGGGCCAGCAUCGGUUUGGAGCGGCAGGAUAAUGGCGGAGGAAUGUGGCACGGCUUCUGCUGUGUGUUAUAGCCUCUGACGAUACUGCCAGCCUAGACCGAGGACUGCGGUUUUUACCUAGGAUGUUGGCAUAAUGAUCUUAAGUCGCCCGU
rnacentral:rRNA from 1 species